AUUAAUUCGAUGCAACGCGAAAAACCUUUACCUACCCUUGACAUGUCCGGAAUCCCGAAGAGAUUUGGAGUGCUCGCAAGAGAACCGGAACACAGGUGCUGCAUGGCUGUCGUCAGCUCGUGUCGUGAGAUGUUGGGUUAAGUCCCGCAACGAGCGCAACCCUUGUCAUUAGUUGCCAUCAUUUGGUUGGGCACUCUAAUGAGACUGCCGGUGACAAACCGGAGAAGUGGGGAUGACGUCAAGUCCUCAUGGCCCUUAUGGGUAGGGCUUCACACGUCAUACAAUGGUCGGUACAGAGGGUUGCCAAGCCGCGAGGCGGAGCCAAUCCCACAAAGCCGAUCGUAGUCCGGAUUGUUCUCUGCAACUCGAGAGCAUGAAGUCGGAAUCGCUAGUAAUCGCAGGUCAGCAUACUGCGGUGAAUACGUUCCCGGGUCUU
rnacentral:rRNA from 1 species